GAUGAACGCUGGCGGCGUGCCUAAUACAUGCAAGUCGAGCGAACAGACGAGGAGCUUGCUCCUCUGACGUUAGCGGCGGACGGGUGAGUAACACGUGGAUAACCUACCUAUAAGACUGGGAUAACUUCGGGAAACCGGAGCUAAUACCGGAUAAUAUAUUGAACCGCAUGGUUCAAUAGUGAAAGACGGUUUUGCUGUCACUUAUAGAUGGAUCCGCGCCGCAUUAGCUAGUUGGUAAGGUAACGGCUUACCAAGGCAACGAUGCGUAGCCGACCUGAGAGGGGGGUCGGCCAACCUGGAACUGAGAAACCGUCCCGAACCCCAAGGGAGGCAGCAGUAGGGAAUUUUCCGGAAUGGGCGAAAGCCUGACGGAGGAACCGCGGGGGAGGGAAGAAGGGUUUUGGAUUGGAAAAACCUUUUUUUAGGGAAAAAAAAAUUGGUAAGGAAAUUUGCCCCGUUUGAAGGGAACCUAUUCGAAAGCCCAGGCCAAACAAGUG
rnacentral:rRNA from 1 species